rnacentral:rRNA from 1 species
ACGGGGAGCAGCAGGCGCGAAACCUUYACACUGCACGACAGAUGCGAUAAGGGGACCCCGAGUGCGAGGGCAUACAGUCCUCGCUUUUCGUGACCGUAAGGAGGUCACAGAAUAAGUGCUGGGCAAGACCGGUGCCAGCCGCCGCGGUAAUACCGGCAGCACGAGUGAUAGCCACUAUUAUUGGGCCUAAAGCGUCCGUAGCCGGCUACACAGGUCCGUCGGGAAAUCCACCCGCUCAACGGGUGGGCGUCCGGCGGAAACCAGGUAGCUUGGGACCGGAGGACCUGCGGGGUACGUCUGGGGUAGGAGUGAAAUCCUGUAAUCCCAGACGGACCACCGGUGGCGAAAGCGCCGCAGGAGGACGGAUCCGACAGUGAGGGACGAAAGCUUGGGUCUCGAACCGGAUUAGAUACCCGGGUAGUCCAAGCCGUAAACGAUGCUCGCUAGGUGUGGCGCAGGCUACGAGCCUGCGCUGUGCCGUAGGGAAGCCGAGAAGCGAGCCGCCUGGGAAGUACGUCCGCAAGGAUGAAACUUAAAGGAAUUGGCGGGGGAGCAC